AGCUCCAAUAGCGUAUAUUAAAGUUGCUGCAGUUAAAAAGCUCGUAGUUGCAUUUCCGAGGCAAGGGAUUAGUCCGACCUUUGGUGGGUAUUUAAUCCUCUUGCCUCGUCCUUGAGUGGUGCUUCUUGGUAUUAAGUUAUCGAGGAGAUAGCCGCUCAUCGUUUACUGUGAGAAAAUUAGAGUGUUCAAAGCAGGCUUAUGCCGUUGAAUAUAUUAGCAUGGAAUAAUAAGAUAGGACCUCGGUACUAUUUGGGUGGUUUGAGAACCAAGGUAAUGAUUAAUAGGGACAGUUGGGGGUAUUCGUAUUCAGUUGUCAGAGGUGAAAUUCUUAGAUUUACGGAAGACGAACUACUGCGAAAGCAUUUACCAAGGAUGUUUUCA
rnacentral:rRNA from 1 species